rnacentral:rRNA from 1 species
AUUGAACGCUGGCGGCAUGCCUUACACAUGCAAGUCGAACGGUAACAGGUUAAGCUGACGAGUGGCGAACGGGUGAGUAAUACAUCGGAACGUGCCCAGUAGUGGGGGAUAGCCCGGCGAAAGCCGGAUUAAUACCGCAUACGACCUAAGGGUGAAAGGGGGGGAUCGCAAGACCUCUCGCUAUUGGAGCGGCCGAUGUCAGAUUAGCUAGUUGGUGGGGUAAAAGCUCACCAAGGCGACGAUCUGUAGCUGGUCUGAGAGGACGACCAGCCACACUGGGACUGAGACACGGCCCAGACUCCUACGGGGGGCAGCAGUGGGGAAUUUUGGACAGUGGGCGCAAGCCUGAUCCAGCCAUGCCGCGUGCGGGAAGAAGGCCUUCGGGUUGUAAACCGCUUUUGUCAGGGAAGAAAUCCUUUGGGUUAAUACCUCGGGGGGAUGACGGUACCUGAAGAAUAAGCACCGGCUAACUACGU